GAUGCUAAUACCGGAUAACAACAGAUGAUGCCUAUCAACUGUUUAAAAGAUGGUUAUGCUAUCACUCUUGGAUGGACCUGCGGUGCAUUAGCUAGUUGGUAGGGUAACGGCCUACCAAGGCGAUGAUGCAUAGCCGAGUUGAGAGACUGGUCGGCCACAUUGGGACUGAGACACGGCCCAAACUCCUACGGGAGGCAGCAGUC
rnacentral:rRNA from 1 species